AUCUACAGUCAUACCAUCCUGAACGUGCCUGAUCUUGUCUGAUCUCAGAAGCUAAGCAGGGUCAGGUCUGGUUAGUACUUGAAUGGGAGACCUCCUGGGAAUACCGGGUGCUGUAGGCU
ensembl:rRNA 5S_rRNA 5S ribosomal RNA